rnacentral:rRNA from 1 species
GACGAACGCUGGCGGCGUGCUUAACACAUGCAAGUCGAACGGAAAGGCCCUGCUUUUGUGGGGUGCUCGAGUGGCGAACGGGUGAGUAACACGUGAGUAACCUGCCCUUGACUUUGGGAUAACUUCAGGAAACUGGGGCUAAUACCGGAUAGGAGCUCCUGCUGCAUGGUGGGGGUUGGAAAGUUUCGGCGGUUGGGGAUGGACUCGCGGCUUAUCAGCUUGUUGGUGGGGUAGUGGCUUACCAAGGCUUUGACGGGUAGCCGGCCUGAGAGGGUGACCGGCCACAUUGGGACGGAGUUACGGCCCGGAUUCCUUCGGGGGGAAGCAGUGGGGAAUAUUGCACAAUGGGCGGAGGCCGGAUGCAGAAACGCGGGGUGGGGAAUGACGGCCUUCGGGUUGUAACCGCUUUCGCCUGUGACGAAGCGUGAGUGACGGUAAUGGGUAAAGAAGCACCGGCUAACUACGUG